rnacentral:rRNA from 1 species
UGGGGAAUAUUGGACAAUGGGCGCAAGCCUGAUCCAGCCAUGCCGCGUGAGUGAUGAAGGCCCUAGGGUUGUAAAGCUCUUUCACCGGUGAAGAUAAUGACGGUAACCGGAGAAGAAGCCCCGGCUAACUUCGUGCCAGCAGCCGCGGUAAUACGAAGGGGGCUAGCGUUGUUCGGAUUUACUGGGCGUAAAGCGCACGUAGGCGGACUAUUAAGUCAGGGGUGAAAUCCCGGGGCUCAACCCCGGAACUGCCUUUGAUACUGGUAGUCUUGAGUUCGGGAGAGGAGAGUGGAAUUCCGAGUGUAGAGGUGAAAUUCGUAGAUAUUCGGAGGAACACCAGUGGCGAAGGCGGCUCACUGGCUCGAUACUGACGCUGAGGUGCGAAAGCGUGGGGAGCAAACAGG